rnacentral:rRNA from 1 species
AUCUACGGGGCGCAGCAGGCGCGAAAACUUUGCAAUUUGCGAAAGCACGACAAGGUUAAUCCGAGUGGUUUCUGCUAAAGGAACCUUGUGACAUGUCUAGAAACCCAUGAGAAUCACCCCAUUCC